rnacentral:lncRNA from 1 species
CGCCGCCACUGUCGUUUCCGCCCGCUGACGCGACCUCACCACGCCGCCGCGCGGCCUUCCUGUAAUUCACAAGACGAAGAUCAGGGCUACGAGAAUCAGCAGUCUGUCCAGGAAUGCAUUUUCCAUCUACAUGGAUCGUCUCCAUCUUUUACUUACCAGCCCAACAAUGAAUGCGUCUGGCCCAGCCCAACAACGCGUACAAGGCCCCAGCACGGAAAAUUAGUGGACUGGGACGAAGAAGCCCCGGAUGGCUCCGUUUCGAGAGACUGGGCUAAAGCGUGCGACCGAGCGCGGCGGGCGGUUUGGGCGCUUCCGCCUUCGCGCUUGGGUCCGUGUCGUCGCCCAUUGCGCAGCAGAGUUUAGUACCACCUCGUCCAGAUAAUGACGGAAACGCCAGGUUAUAAUCCGAAGCGUUGCAGCAGCGUUGUCUCUUCGGAGACAUCCGAUAAAAUUGGAACGAUACAGAGAAGAUUAGCAUGGCCCCUGCGCAAGGAUGACACGCACAAAUCGAGAAAUGGUCCAAAUUUUUUUGAAAUUUUGCGCGCCAAUCCCUGGUUCCUUACACAUAUGCCCCUGGGCGCUUCUUUUACGGCCCCUGCAGUCUUCCGUGCUUACCAUGGGGUCCCUGAUGUUUUUCACUAAAGUCCGUCCAUAUCUGACACGCACAAAUCGAGAAAUGGUCCAAAUUUUUUUGAAAUUUUGCGCGCCAAUCCCUGGUUCCUUACACAUAUGCCCCUGGGCGCUUCUUUUACGGCCCCUGCAGUCUUCCGUGCUUACCAUGGGGUCCCUGAUGUUUUUCACUAAGGUCCGUCCAUAUCUGUCUCUUUGUUCUACCCUUGGAUUCUUACGUCUAGGGCCUAGUAACUUCUACAUUAUUACAAUAAGACCCUUGAGGCUUGAGAUUGCCUGUUAAUUCCCAAAUAUGUCCCUGAUUUUCAUUCUUAUGUGCUUUAUUUCGUAACUCAUCUUCGAGACGGACUUUUACAGCAAUAGAAAAGACUUACUAGAUUUUUCUACACUUUUGGAUCCUUUAAGUUCCUAUCCGUGGAUAGUCAAAAAUCCAAAUUGGUUAAUAAAUAUAAGAGACCAGAGAGCAACUCCAUUUCAGGAUAUGCACUUUGCUCAAAUAGGGUAUUUCUUUUUUUUUCUUUUGCGACAAUAAAAAACUAUAUUCACACCCGUUAUAGCAGAUUUCUCAGGGCAUGGUAGUGCAUUUUUAUUUAGCAUGGUACUCCCGGUAAACCUCUACUCAUGAGACCCACAUGUAAGAAAUUUGGGCCUCCAUCCUACUUACUCCCUCCAUACCAAAUUGUAAGUCGUUUUGGUAUUUCAAAAUUCAUAAAUUUUGCUAUGCAUCUAGAUACAGCGGCGGAUCCAGCGGUAGGGAACCCCCCACCCACCCACCCAAGGAGGAAGGAGAGGAGAGGAGGGAGGAAGAAGAAUAGGAAAUGAGCCCCCUAAUGUGUAACCCUGGAUCUACCACUGGAUAUAUAGUAAAUACUAUGAAUCUAGAAAUAGUAAAAUGGACGUAGUAAGUCCUAUUUCGUUUUCUUUCACCGCACUCAAUAGUAAAAUGGACGUAGUAAGUCCUAUUUCGUUUUCUUUCACCGCCCUCGAGAAAAUAUCACGAGUUUUUUGUGCUUGGAAGUUUUUCUUGAGAUCAGAAAACACACACGAAAAGUGUACAUCAUGCAUGCUGAAAUCAUCGCUACACUGACAGCAGAAUCGGCACGGGCCCAUGGGCGGAAGGCGGACGACGCGGAGGCUGCAUUCUUCAUUCUCGGACAGAAUAAAUAAACAUCGGAAGAACAUAAAGAAGAACUCUUGGUACGCCCAUCUCGAUUUUCUGGUUUGCAGGCACCAUCCGUCAGAUGUCCAAUGAUGGGGCUCUCGGCCCCAUUUUUGUUAACGCGACAGAAACCACUUGCUGUUAAGCGUCGGUGUCAAUGGCUGACAGCACACAUAUAUAUAUGGGACAGCGGCACACGACCAAAUCACAGUCAUCAAUUAUCGUAUCGUGUCCAGUUGCUUUCGUGAUACUACUGCAUGGGCACUUUUAAUGCCACGCAUACUAGUGCACGUGAUCUGAUUGCAUGGGAAAGAUUAGCUAGCGUGGCCUUGUCAAGUCUGAACCGCUGCAACUUGUAAACGCACCGACUGGUGGUGCGACCAGCCAGGCGAUCCAUUUUAGUGAGUGAUCACACGCGAGUGAUUUGAGUCAUUUCUGAUCUUUUGGAUUAGUUAUGUAUGCAUAGCAAUACGCAUUAGUUACCAUUAUGUUGAGCUUGAGUCUUUUGGCGAUAAAAUAAACUAAAUGUGAUUGAGCUUGAGCUCAAACUGAUAAUUAACAAAGGCAUCUGCUAUCCAACUUUUCGGUGGAGUUGCAAUCAAUAGUUGCAAGCUGUUGCCAUGCCAUUGCCAUCAGGAUCGGAGAAGAUUGGUGUGCCGUGUGCAUGGAUCCUUCUCAAUUUUUUGUGGUGCCUGACGGCUGUCCAUAUAUGCUGCCUACCUUUCAGGUUUCCAGGACUUUCUGUGGUGCAGCUGUAGCUUGCGUUGGAGCAGAGGACUAAGAUCAUGAUAUUGUACUAGUACGAUCUUUUCUUUUCUUUUUUGUUUAUACUCCAUCCUCAAAGGAAUUCCCGUUUUAUUUCUGGUUGCAAGGAGGUCUUUUAUUUUGUGGAGUAGAAGCAACUGCUACCUCAUCAUCGCAACUAAAAUCUCUAGGCUAUACCAAACACAAGAUCGAUCGCGAGGUAUCCUGAAAGUUCGCGGGAUUUUCCCUGACUGUACAGAUUAUUAGACUUAGGGGCUGUUUGGUUUGUUGACAAUUGCAACCAAACCAAAAUUUUGGCAUGCCAUCGCAACUUCUAGCGUACUUGGUCCUAGGAGCAUCUCCAACAAACUAUCUAUUUUUUAUUCUCCAUUUAACUCUCUAUCUAAGUUAGUAAAAAGAUUCCUCUCCACGUUGAGUUUCUCAUUCCAAUAGACUAUCAAUUUUUUACUCUUCAAACCCUAACAGCUAGUUUCCUUUCUAAAAAUAUACACUCUCCAUACACUCCAACAGCCUCUCCAUUUCGCACUACAACAGCAUCUUUAUUUUGCACUCUCCAUUCUAGCAACUACUGCACGUGGACCCCACACUUUGGCAAGGCAAACUGACUUGCUAAAGGCUUGCCAAGAUUGGCAAGUGUGAGGGGCAAGUCGGAUGGGAUGAAAACUUAGAUAAAAGCUCUGUUGGACCACGAUUUUCUUACUAGCUAAAUUUUAGCUUGGCAAGUCGGAUAGCAACUUUUUUGGGUUGCUCUAAAGUUGGUGUGCCAAUCGACGCCAACGCAAAACAACGCGAGCGCAGGGCGAGAAUGCAGGUGAGGCAAAUGCGGAAGUAGUUCCUCUGUAGUAGCAGCAAAUGCGGAAGUAGUUCCUCUGUAGUACUGCUAUUGCAGUUGGAUUAUUAACAUGUGAGACCAGGUCCACACGUCAGUCACUCAAGAGCAGCUCCAGAGACUCAUCCGAAAAUGCUCGCCCAAGAUUUGGCAGACGCCCCGACCUGUUCGCUUCACCUUAUUCAGCCGGCUUAUCAGCCACCAAACAAUAUUUUCCUCUCACAACAGAUCAGCCAUUUCAGCUUUUCCGCCAGCUUAUAAGCUGAAGCGAACAGGCCCACGUCCCUACGAGCAAUCGUGACAGGAGCUGUAUGGCUACACGGAAACCGAAAAUCAUGAUUCAACCAUAUUUAAAUAUUUAAAUGCUAAUAUCUUUUAAAUGGUUUAUCUAAUUGAAAAUCCAAUUACAUAUUUAUAAUUAUUGCAAUUACAUCUAUCAAAUGAGAUAUUGCUUGGCUAUAUUUCGAUAAAAAAAAUAACAAUGACAUGUAGACCCAUGCAUCAUACUCAUUGUUUUGGCAUGGCUACAAUCCAAACAUUGUCGUGCCGAUAUUUUGGUGUUGCCCGCACUUUGAUCAUGACCAACAUUUGGUAGGGCUAGCUGCGGCUAAAACCAAACAAGCCCUUAACUCUGUUGGACCACGAUUUUCUUACUAACUUGCUAAUUUUAGCUUGGCAAGUCGGAUAGCAAAUCUCUUGGAUUUGCUCUAAAGUUGGUGUGGCAAUCGGCACCAACGCAAAACAACACGAGCGCAGGGUGAGGAUGUAGGCGAGGCAAAUGCGGAAGUGGUUCCUCUGUAGUACUGCUAUUGCAGUUGGGUUAUGGACCUGUGGGAUCGGAUCCACACGUAAGUGACUCAGCAGCUCCGGAGACUCAUCCAAAAAUGCUCGCCCAAGAUUUGGCGGACGUCCACGUCCCUGCGGGCAAUUGUAGCAGGACCUGUAUGGCUACACGGAAACCGAAAAUCACAAUUCAACCAUAUUUAAAUGCUAAUAUCUUUUUAAAUGGUUUAUCUAAUUGAAAAUCCAAUUACAUAUUUAUAAUUAUUGCAAUUAAAUCUACUAAAUGAGAUGUCACUUGGCUAUAUUUUGAUAAAAAAAAUAACAAUGACAUGUAGACCUCAUGCGUCAUACUCAUUGUUUUGGUAAGUUUUGGCAUGACUACAAUCUAAAUAUUGUUGCACCGAUAUUUUUGUGUUGCCCGCACUUUGAUCACGACUAACAUUUAGUAGAGCUAGCUAGUGCUAAAACCAAACGAGCCCUUAAUCAGUUUCGGAGCCUUGGCCAACAGUCCUUUAAACCACACCAGCUGGACCAACCAAUGUUUGGUGCAAACACGGAGAAUUAUGAUUAAGCUUGUACAGUAUUAUUAUUCACGAUCUAAAGUCCCGGCUCCAACAGUUUCGAUAUAAAGCCAUAUGUAACGUCUUGGCCUCGCUGAAUGGCCAAAUUUUUUGUUUGUGGGUUGCUUGCAAGACUACAUAACCAAUAUUCAAGGGAGAUAUUGAAUUACUUCUAGCGUGGAGGGAGGAACAAACAAUUUAUGAUGCUUAACAAAGUCGACAAGUUAGAAAUAAAUGCUGUCCUGUCCUGCCAUCAAAACUCUAGCUACCACUCAAUCAAUUGAUUUCGAGUUAAGAAAAAAAAAUCAAUCCCUUUUGUCUGAACAAAAUCCCUUUCGGUAAAUUAUGUAAACUACAGUACCAACAUAGUACACCCAGGUAAAACUAGGUGCAGAAUCGAUCAACAGUCUUGCCUCUAGAUGAAAUUGAAAAGAAACGUCAACCUACAAGUAAAAACGGCUUUGUUCCGUUUUCAGGAGAAGUACCAGCUCCCAGGCAUCUCCAGAGGUUAUCCCGUCAAACGUGGCCGUUCUUCAGAAUUGAGAAGAUAAGCCCUGCAUGACCCGGAGCAGACGUGUACACCCACCACAGCCCCGAUCCAGAGGAGGAGGGGGUAGGAGGCAGGAGACAACAGACGAGGGAUCCGACGUGUCCGAGAACUGGUGGCUCAGCACCGAUCGCGGAUCCAAACCCACCUCCGCCGCAGGAUCCAGGCUGACCGCACCCCACCGCCGUCCGUCCCCACAGCGCGCACAAGCAAAGCUGACUCACCCCUUGUGCUUCGCACAGCAGCAGCUCCGGUCGGGGAGGGCCCACGCGUGCACACGCGGCGGCGUAACCGCCAGGCAGCGCCAGUGCGCAGCUCGGCCCCACCCGUCAGCCUAACCGCCGCGGUGCCCUCGGGCCUGCUGCUGACUCACCGAGUCGCUCGCCCCGAGACGCCAUCUCUGCCGCCGCGUCCGAACCCAGCGCACCCGCCUCCGUUCAUACCCAGCCAGCCACGCGUGGGCCCAUACCUUGCGCGUCCCCACAUGUCAUCGGUGCUCUACGUGUGGUCAUCUAUACUUAUCUACCCGCCCACGCUUUCACCGUGGGAGACGGAAACCAACGAUGCUGCCGUCCACACGUCGCCUGAACGGAGCCGUUCCGUUUCGUUCCGUCCAACCGCGGCUGCUGCCUGCUGCUCCGCGACUUUUCCCCUCUCUGUUCCCCACGCGGCCACGCCUCGACCCACUGACAUCUUGGCCCCACCGCGGGCAUAACGGCCAUUUCAAAACUCCCAGCCUGCCUCGUGUGUGUGUGUGUGGCUUUAAAGCGACACGGUCGCCUCCGCUAGCUUUCUUCCCCAUUUCGUCGCAUCGGCAUCCUCUUGCUUCACACGCGCACCGCGAUUUUUUUAAUUUGGGGGUUGGUCUCUCUAUCUGGUCGGCGGCGGCGGCGGAGGGCGUAGCGAGGAUGGAGACGGCGGCGGCGGCGAUGCUGGAGGCCGGGGUGGGGCGGUUCUCGCGGGCGCCGGCGCUGGCCGCGGCGCUGCUGGCCGAGAUGUGGGCGCCGCUGGCCGUGGCGCUGGCGGCGCUAGCCACGCUGCCCAGCCUGCUGCGGCGGCUGCAGGUCAUCGUGCUGCGCCUCCGCUCCCGGGGGAAGGAGGUCAUCCAGUCGCACAUCGGGACCUACUACUCCUCCGGCGACGAGGAUGAUGAGGAUGAGGACGGCGACGAGCAUGACGAAGAGGAGAGCUCCGACGAGGCGGACACGAGCUCCUCCGGCGAGGAGGAGGAUCUGAAGCGGAUCGGGUUCUACGACGGCGCGGCGGACGGCGGCUUCCCCUGGGGCGGCGCCGUCGUCCGGACCUGGCAGGGCCUGCCGCGCGCCCUCUCCGGCUGCUCCAUCUCCACCUCCCUCGGCGGCGGUGGCGCGAGGUUCGCCGCCAUCAACGGGGCGCUUCCGGCGGUGAGGCUGUGGGCCGCCAGCACGGCCAGCUGCGAGCAGUGGUGGGCCGGCGCCGAUGAAGGCGGCUGCGCCGGCGGCGCGGCCGCGGAGGCGCUGCCCUCGCCCCCGGCGCCGGCGGACCAGGUGGUCGUCGGGUGGCGGCGCGACGACGCCGCGUCCCGGCGCCGGCGGCGUGCCCCGCUGCCCCGCCGCGUCCACGCCAACUGAAACAGGACGGGACGGGGUCACGGGGAGGGACCGGUGGGUGCGAGAGGCCGAUGUGAAUAUGCCGCAGGGCGACCAGCUGGAGAUGCCGAUUCCCCCGUUGGGGCCCACCUGCCAGUGGGAGGGGCUAAUGAAUAAGGAGGGGUGAUUAGUAUUGUGGGGGAGUGGUUAGGCGCCGCGCCGGAUUGGUUGGUGAGAUUAUUAUUUCAAAAACAAAUUGCUUAUUGAUUAGGGAAGGAACCAGAGGAAAAAGGAAAAAAGCAUUGGGGGCAGGUGCGAGGUGCACUGCGUGUUGUUGCUGUACACUUGUACUGCGCCUAGCUUGCUGGAAUUAGAAAUGCAUGCUGCAGCUGCUCAUUUUCUCUUGGAGAUGACGGUAAAAUCUUGCGCGCGUGUAAUCUGUGCCGCCAUUCUUUGAUUCAUGCGGCGAUGUGAUGAAUAAGGAAAAGAAAAUAGUACCGGUGCGGUGCUCCAGUCCCCUUGUUUCUCGAUGUGCCUGGAUGUGCAGUGUUGGGAGACAGAUGUUUAAACUUUAGCUCUUUGUCACAUUAGAUGUUCGGACGUUAAUUAAGAGUUAAUUACAAACUAAUAGCAGAACCUCUAAGCUAAAUUGAAACAUGAUCUAAUUACAAAACUAAUAGCAGAACCUCUAGGUUAAAUCGCGAGACGAAUCUAUUAAGUCUAAUUAAUCAAUCAUUGUCAAAUCAUGAACAAAUUAGAUUUAACAGAUUCGUCUCGCAAUUUAGCCUAGGUUGUGCAAUUAGUUUUGUAACUAGUCUAUGUUUAAUAUUCUAAUUAGGGUGUUUGGAUACCCCAUACUAAAAUUUAACACCUG